ACAGUCCCUUGUGAUUUUUCUCUUGCUCCAGUUGGCGGCGGGACAGCAGGAUGCCUAGUAGCCAACACGUUGUCAGCUGUACCAAGCAUCACCGUGUUAGUGAUCGAGGCCGGUGGCGUUGAGGAUGACAUGAUGGAAAUACCCGGCUUCGCUAUAAAGCUCAAGGGUUCGAAGUACGACUGGAAUGAUACCAUAGUGCCACAGUACCACUCAUGCCAAGCCAACUUCGAACAUAAAACAUCAAGCAUAACCUGGAGCAGCCAUAUGCAGCACAGCGUGGGGCAUAUCCAUACAAAGUUUCCUCACGGCCGCCAAGAACAUUUAAACAAAGUGUGUGGUAAAUGUCAGGCGAAAGGACUGGACGCCGUCGACGACAUCACUGGUCUGCAGCAAACAUUUUAAAAACAAAUGCUUUGACAGAACGGGCCAAACCGUUCAACUGAGGCCUGACGCUGUGCCCAACAAGUUCGACUUCCCAGAACACCUCCAGAAAUUAUAAUGCAUGGGUCAUAUGUAGAGGCCGUAUUUAUAUGCACUAAAAGCUGGUUGAAUACACAUGCAUGAAAAAUUCAUUAAUCUUGCUCAAAAUAUGCGCCUCUAGGAAUUCACUGGCAUGCAUUUAAAACACGCAACAAAUUCACUGGGGCGAAAGUAUCCUACUUUAUGUACUGUACAAAAAGCACGGAGAGUUGGUCUCCUUUGGAAUCUUAGCGUUGGUUCACUACGGCGCGUCGAUAUCGAGCUUUGUGGCGGACGUCGUAUGGAUGGAAGUAUUCAGAAUCAAAAAUGUGUUUUCUGAUUUUUUGUUUAUGAUCAGCUCGCUCUAAAUAUCGCUGGUGAUGAUCUGCAGUCGAUAAAUAUAAGUUAUUUGUCAGGUAUAUCGGAAAAGGCCCUUUCUGGCUAGUAUGUGAGAUGGCGGACAUGGUUUUCAUGAUGAAAGAUGAAAGUCACCGAAAAGGUUAGCCAGCUGUAGGUUUUUCAUAUACGUAUUUAGUAAUGAUCAGUACUUAGAAAUCUUAAACCAGUCCCCGGCGCCUCAGUGGCUACGGUAGAGGCUCCGCAUAGAAAACUAGUAAUGAUCAGGGUCACUUGACCCACUGGCGUCAAUGAUUCGCGAACGAAUCUUGCGAACGAGUCCCUAAUGUUCACUGAUUUGAACGAACACAUCAGAUAUUCGGGCCACGCGCGCCGAGCUUCGCCUGGCUAACUACUGCGCAUGCGUUCAACACUGUUUUACAGCGGCGAACAUAUAUUUUAAUAACUAGCCCAAUACUCAUUUUGUUUCUGAUUACUUGAUUUAAUGUUUUUUGUGGAUCUCUUGGGUGAUUCAUUCUUACUGGCAUGAAGCACGGAGUCUUGCCUCAAUCUGAUCUCACUAAUGAAUGAUUUCACACUAAUUGUGUGUCGUCCCAAACAGCACAGAACACAAAAGGGUAUGUACAACAGCAUAUUAAAAUGGUUAAUGUCAAGUGCCACUGUGGUUGCAGAGUCCUUUGGCAAAUUCCACUGCAAGAUUUGUGCAGAAACGUUUGAGCAGAGAAGUCGAAGUUACACGGGGAUUGAAGCAUUUCCCGUCACUCACUCUUGGCGUAUUGUGUGUGACGAGACAAAACAGUAGAUGUCAUGAGACUCUUCAGCGCAGUUAGAGAGCUCGCGUAUCAAGUCACUUUAAUUUCCCACUACCUUAGAGGGAAUUCAAAUACUGCAGUUAUUGCCCUUUGUUUGGUGUCUGUGUCUUCAACACACUAUUUAGGAAAUUGUCCAAAGUGCGCAAACGUGUGCAAAUAAUUCAUGCUCAAACAUAAAAAUAAAUAAAUAAAAUAAUAAAAUGAAUAUAUACCAAAAGUUUACAAAGUUGUGCAGGCAACUCCAAAUACCUGAGUAUUGUAAAAACUGAUUGUGCAAUACGAUAGUUCCUGGCUUUAGUUACGUUGCGAUACGUGAGCUUUCCCGGUCUUUCAAACCGAAACUUAACUAAAGCCACAGUGCUCUCAUCGUCACAUGCGACCAAGCAGCAUCGGCAUCAACUCGGAGUCUGUUUUCGACUUGGAAACUGUUGGCGUAGCGUCUAAGCAGCCUGGUGAAUUGUGUUUCCUUCUGUCCUUCAGCUCUUCGGAACGUAUAAAAAUGUGAACGUCCUUUCAUCUGUGUAGUGAGGUGCUUCCUUAUGCAUUUUGUUCCUGAAGCUUUACAGAAGCUCUACUACGGCAAAGGAGAAGCGGCGUGUGUAGAACACAAGUCGCAAGUUCCGAACCAGCAGGUGUAGUAAUGACCAGAUAUUUAUCUAUAGUUAGCUGAACUGCAUUCAUGAUGUAUACUCGUGCUCCACUCGAAUCUCUUAAAAUCCCUAGUAUUACCAACGUGAUCUUGCCAUGUUUAUCAGAUGCAAUAAUGCAUGAUAUGCCUAUGUUCUGUGUAAACACUUACAGAAUACUGAUUUGCAUCGCAUUCGGUUCGGCUCUAGUGAUCCCUGGGACAGAAGCAUUGCGGUACUAGUCAACUUUUUCUAUCAGUCAAUUUAACUACGUAUGCAGAAACAUAUCAAAAUAGGCGUCAUAUAAUUACAUGAGCUUAUGUCUGGAGCCUGAAGGUUUCGGGAAAUAUUUUUUCCAAAUUCGGGGGUGAAAAAUCGGAGAAAUAACCAUAUGCUCUAAAUUCAUGCGAAUUCUCGGUAGAAAUCUUCCUUUAUGCUAAAGUUCAGGAGAAAUCUGACACUACUACUCAAACAAACUGUGCAGGUUUCAUAGAAAUGGUGAAGUAAUUGCGUUUGCUGCCAAACAAGCUAGUGUGCAUCUUUUCAGUUUUUUUUGUUCAUUUUUCAGUAAGUUUCGGUGAGGGAAUUUUCUUUGUAAAAAACUAAUUUCACCCUAAACAGGCAACCUUCAAUUUGGGUUGUAAAUUCGGGGGAAUUAGCAGGUUAAACCCUUUCAGGCUCUACUCAUGUUGAUACAGUAUAUGCAGGAAACAUCAUAAGACCGCGGGGACGCCACCAGUCUUCCGUAUAAGAGAGGAAAAGUCUCAAUUAUGUGUUGUGUUAAGUCAGUGGUAAACUUUUUCUGUAAGUGUGAUGAGCUUUUGGAACAUUUCCUGCUUUCAGGUUCAAGAGCUUGAUCAGCUUGGCGGUAGUGAAGCAAAGCAAUCUACACGAAAGAUACUCGAGUACCUUCUGACGAACUGCGUUGCUGCAGAGUUCAGCUGGGUUGUUCAAAAGGGCAAGCGGAAGUUUUGUGUGGCAAAUCUGUUUCAGUACAAUUGCCUACUUAAACUAUAGAUCCAAUAUUCCUUGGUGGCAGUUACUGUUUAUACUACAGUCAGCUCUACCCUGUGAUAUCUUCGUGUUAGGAUGCGAGCAAUUUUCACAUUUUUGGUGUACCAAAGUGCCUGGGAUAGCUCGCAUCCCUAUGCCCUUUAUGGUGCUAGUAACUUCAUUAACCACAUCCGUUACUCAGGAUGCUCACCCAGUUAGAUGAAACACCAGUUCCUAGAUCAGCUGCUCAUUCCAAGAACUGAUGUUAACUUGAUACAUUGUUAGCUAGCUCAUUGCCAGGUGAUAUACAGAUGGUUUUUUUUAGUGGUAGUACAGAAUAUUCAAUAAAAUGUAUUGUCACAGUGAACAGUUUGCAUUAUAAGAUCUAUACACAGCAUACGGGGCAGGGAGGGAAUACUGCAUUAGCGUUCUCGAAUGUCCAGAAAAACAUCCUGAGAUGCCUAGAAAAAUAUCCUGAAAAUGUCAUAAAGGAAGCCACCAGGAUUCCCCAAAUCAAUUCCCCGGCUGUUGCAAUGGAAGUACGAAUGAUGUCCGAUAGUAUGUCAUCCGGACAAUUCGGGAUAUCUUACGGACAUCUGAUUGUUCAGUUGGUGACAUCAUAUAGACAUCCUCAGGAUGUGCCUUGGUUGUGUGGGAGCUGUGUUUGCCUGUUGGGGCAUGCGUCGACUUCUGGCGUGAAGCAAACAGCCACCAAAAUACAGGUUACGUCUUUCUUACAUCCACACGGAACGAGUAUCGUGGUUGCAUUUCUAGUUCUCGGAGAAUAUAUUUGUUAGAGAAUGACAGUCAGUGAGUGUCACAUAUGGCAAUCGCAACUUCCAUUCGCUUGUCUAACACUCAUGACAGAAUUGUUCUCGCAGUUUUUUGCAAGCAUUAUGGAGAAGCCCGUAGGUACUCGGCAGAAUACAUAGCGAAGGUCUUAAACCGAUCAGAGGAAAACGUCAGUCUUUGGCUGUCGUAAACGAUCUGUGAGCUGUGACGCAACGGAUCGAAGACCACGACCGGCACAGUACGCGAACUGCUGCUCGACUUGCCAGACGCUGUAACAGAGGAGAGCUAAAUAAACAGCUAAGUCGCCAAACAUA